rnacentral:rRNA from 1 species
AGAGUUUGAUCCUGGCUCAGAGCGAACGCUGGCGGCGUGCUUAACACAUGCAAGUCGAGUGCGCGCCCGUAGCAAUACGGGUGGCGCACGGCGCACGGGUGCGUAACACGUGGGUAACCUGCCCUUUGAUGGGGAAUAACCCCGCGAAAGCGGGGCUAAUUCCGCAUAAGAUCCGCAAGGAUGAAAGCCGUAAGGCGUCGAAGGAGGGGCCUGCGCACGAUUAGCUAGUUGGUAGGGUAACGGCCUACCAAGGCUUUGAUCGUUAGCUGGUCUGAGAGGAUGGCCAGCCACACUGGAACUGAGACACGGUCCAGACUCCUACGGGAGGCAGCAGUGGGGAAUCUUGCACAAUGGGCGAAAGCCUGAUGCAGCGACGCCGCGUGGGGGAUGAAGCUUCUCGGAGUGUAAACCCCUUUCGACCCGGACGAAUACCUCGCAAGAGGGGUGACGGUACGGGUAUAAGAAGCCCCGGCUAACUACGUGCCAGCAGCCGCGGUAAGACGUGGGGGGCCAGCGUUGCUCGGAAUUACUGGGUGUAAAGGGUCAGUAGGCGGUGUGGCAAGUCGGGAGUGAAAUCUCUGGGCUUAACUCAGAGACUGCUUCCGAAACUGCUGUGCUUGAGUGUGGGAGAGGCGCGUGGAAUUGCAGGUGUAGCGGUGAAAUGCGUAGAUAUCUGCAGGAACACCCGUGGCGAAAGCGGCGCGCUGGACCACAACUGACGCUGAAUGACGAAAGCUAGGGGAGCAAACAGGAUUAGAUACCCUGGUAGUCCUAGCCCUAAACGAUCAGGACUUGGGGUGCCACCCGUUCGGGUGUCGUCCCGGAGCUAACGCGUUAAGUCCUGCACCUGGGGAGUACGGUCGCAAGACUGAAACUCAAGGAAUUGACGGGGCCCGCACAAGCGGUGGAACAUGUGGUUCAAUUCGACGCUACGCGAGGAACCUUACCUGGGCUUC